UCCCCGGUCUAAUCUUUUCCUCUUCUUGCUUUUCCUGUUUAAAGCAAUCUCUUAUUUUCUCUUUUCCUUUCUGUGGAGAAGUGCUGGGCCUUUUCCAUCUGAACUUUUCCUCACAGUGAGUACUUACUGAGUGCACUUAAAGGGAUGAAUGCUUUUAUCCAUCGGUGCCUCACCCCUGAAAGAAUACAUUUAUUUGGGAAACUGACUUGGGUUACCUUUGGAAAUGGUAAAUCAAUGGGGGCUGUUUCUGAGGUUGCUGGAGGAGGCCAGACACUGAGUUUGUUGUAGUUAACAAGAUGAACUUGGUCCUUGUGGCAGAGUAUGUGAGGAUGAUAUUUUAAGAAUUGUACAAAGUGACCCCCACGUUAUUUAAUAGCUGAGACUUUCAGAGCUGUGAAUAGGAAUUAGCACUGUUUGAUUUAAGCUCCUUUAGGAAGAAUGAGAGAAACCACAGGGAAACAUGGGGAAUACGUUCCUAAUCCUGUAAGGCAGAUACUUGGGAUACCCUGGGAACAUGAGUUGCCCAGGGCUAGCUGGGCAUAGUUGAACUAACUGAUGAGGUAGACUGCUGUGUUUUGUCUAGAAUUUGGCUGGGAUAUUGGGACAGUUUCUAGUGCAGCUUCAUUGUCCCCACUGAAGGGGUCAGUAGGGCCAUCAGGGAGUCAAUUGUUGUAGUGAUGUGGUGUCCUGACUUAGAGAUUCUGAGAAAUGAGUGUUGGUGUCACACAGAGAUCAGCAGACUACAGCUGUGUUUCCCUCCAUUUCUGGAAAUUCUAUUACAGAUGAAGAGACAGCUAGAGGAGCUUGUGGGAAAAUAGAUACUGGCUUGAGAGUGUUCCCAAACUCAGCUGGAAUACAGGAAGGAAGAGGGGAUAGGGCUGCAUUUAAAGCAGAGGAAUGCCGGACAGUUCUAGCAAAGAUGUCACUCAAAGUGGAGUAUCAGGCGACGAGCAGCUGUACAGCUGGGCCUGUGGUUGGCCUGCCGUAUGUAGUGGUGUGUGUGUGUGUGUAUGUGUGACUUAUGUGAGAUCACAAAGGACAUGUGCACUGGCAUUGAUGACAGUAAUACUCACUCCACACUCCACAGGCAUGGAGCAGCAAUAGAGCUUGCUGCAGGGGUUAAGGAGGCCCUCCUCAGCCCCCCUCCUUGGGCUGCUGUUGAUUAAGCCUUUGCUGGUCAUGAGACACAGAAAGCUUUAGUUAGGGAAUUUGCGGGGCCUCUGUAAGCUUCCUAAGAAUGAGUUAUUAAGACUUCUCUCUAACAGGAGAGAAUACAGCUUACAGUUUGAUGACCUCUAAGUAAGUCACAUAGCCCCUGUGAACUUUUCUAAUUUGUGAGGCUAAUGUGAACUUGGUAAUACUGACCUCCUAUGAUGCGGUAGGUAAAGACCAUCCUGAGGCAGUGGCAUUCCAAGGCAUGGUCCCUGAGACUUGGCCAAUCACCAAGUUGUUGAUGCUUUCCUGUCAGUGUCUGUGGCCUUGUAAAAGUGCACUUAAAAGUUUGUCAUGAUAGGGCGCUGAGAGAUGGCUCAGUUGGUAAAGCAUUUCCUUCACAAACAUGAGAACCUGAGAACGGCUUGCCAGCACCCAUGUACAGAGCCCCUGGGCAGGGGAUGAUUGUAAUCUAGGUUCAGGGAGGCAGACAAAGGAGAGUACCUGGGUCGUGUGUGUUACUGCUAACCACAGGCUUGGUUCUGAGCAGCUACUCUCUAAAAGUGAUAGCUUGACUGAAACUUUACGGCUGUUGACUGGAAGUCCCCUUUUCUUCUCUCCUCAGCCUCUUUCAGCUGUCAUUCUUCCCUUUGAGUCUGUGAGCUUGACUCUUGGAUACUUCAUAGAAAUGUGACUGUGCACCCCUGGCUCCUGUGCAAUGGGCUUCCUUCCCUCAGUAUGACACCUUCAAGAUUAAGGUUGUAGCAUACUGUAGGCUGAGUAGCAUUCUAUUGUAAGUGUAUACUAUAUUGAUCCAAAACCUGCAACCUGUUGGUAGAUAGAUAGGUGUUCCCACAAGACUUCUAGAAGAGAACAGGAAGCCUCUAUGCUAUUGGCCUUAGGGGUGAUCUCGUGGCUGUGACACCCAGAACACAGCAAAAAACAGAGUGAAUGGACCCCGUCGAAGCAGCGCAGCAAAGCUGUGAGCAGAAAGGAAGGACAAUCUGCAGAGUUAGUUAUGGUUCCCCAGCCAUUUAGCUAAAGAGGGCUCUUCUCCAAGUCUGUCAAGAACUUCAGUAGUGAAAAAACCCAAUUAAGGGCUUCGGAGCAGAGUCGGCAUUGCGCGCAGCCUUGUAACUGAGCGUUUUAGUAAGGCAGCAUGCCAUGGGCGCCAUAGGGAUGCUUGAAGAGGGCAGGGCUCCAUCCCUCUCUUCACCUUGCUUUUCUUCUUGUCAUGUUCGCUGGAGCAUUUUAAAGAUUACCUGGCUGUGAUGUUAGGAUGUCCAUGUUGUCUUCUCUUCUUGCACUCAGGUUUUGGCCUCCUUCCUGAAGUGUCAUAAUGAGGUCUGUAAGAGUGAAGGCUAUUGUUUAUGGGACGGAUCCCCAGGUUGGGCAGUCUCUGGAUGGUCCUUCCUUCAGUCUCAGCUCUGAACUUUGUCUCUGUAACUCCUUCCAUGGGUAUUUUGUUCCCCCUUCUAAGAAGGAUCCAAGUAUCCACACUUUGGUCUUCCUUCUUGAGUUUCAUGUGGUUUGCAAAUUGUAUCUUUGGUAUUCCGAACUUCUGGGCUAAUAUCCACUUAUCAGUGAGUGCAUAUCAUGUGUUCUUUGUGAUUGGGUUACCUCACUCAGGAUAAUAUCCUCCAGACCCAUCCAUUUGCCUAAGAAUUUCAUAAAUUCAUUGUUUUUAAUAGCUACGUAGUACUCCAUUGUGUAAAUGUACUACAUUUUCUGUAUCCAUUCCUCUGUUGAGGGACAUCUGGGUUCUACUGCGGAUGCCAACAAGAGCUUGCUGACAGAAGACUGAUAGAGCUGUCUCCCGAGAGGCUCUGUCAGUGCCUGACAAAUACAGAAUGGAUGCUCACAGCCAUCCAUUGGACAGAGCACAGGGUCCCCAAUGAAGGAGCUAGAGAAAGGACCCAAGGAGCUGAAGGGGUUUGCAGCCCCAAAAGAGGAACAACAAUAUGAACUAACCACUAUCUCCAGAGCUCCCUGGGACUAAACCACCAACCAAAGAAAACACAUGAUGAGACUCUUGGCUCUAGCUGUAUAUGUAGCAGAAGAUGGCCUAGUCAGUCAUCUAUGGGAGGAGAGGCCCUUUGUCCUGUGAAGGUUCUAUGCCCCAGUAUGGGGAAAUGCCAGGGCCAGGAAGUGGAAGUGGGUGGGUUGGUGAGCAGGGGGAGGGGAGAAGGGAUAGGGGGUUUUCGGAGGGGAAACCAGGAAAGGAGAUAACAUUUGAAAUGUAAAUAAAGAAAAUACCUAAUU
rnacentral:lncRNA from 1 species